rnacentral:lncRNA from 1 species
CGCGCCACUGCACUCCAGCCUAGGCCACAGAGCGAGACUCCGUCUCAAAAAAAUAAAAGGAUCAUUCAGGUAAAGCAGAUAAGAAUCACCAAUACCUUGAGGUGGAAGCACGCCUGACAUGGUUGAGAAACAACAGAGAAGCCGGCGUCCUGAGUGCGUUUCCAUAGUAAUGAUCAAAUCAAAGAAAUAUAGAAAACACCUAACAUUGCUGGAAACUGAAGAGGUGUUCAACUCAUUUAUCCGACCUUGAAGCCAGUAGAGUGCAGGAGACAUCUGAGUGUUGUCAAGGAUCAACAAAUCUGGAUACUAGUUAAUGUGACGAAAUUUCGCUCUUGUUGCCCAGGCUGGUGUGCA